UGCCUCAGUAGCGGCGAGUGAGCGGCAGAGCUCAGAUUUGAAAUCGUGCUUUGCGGCACGAGUUGUAGAUUGCAGGUUGGAGUCUGUGUGGAAGGCGGUGUCCAAGUCCCUUGGAACAGGGCGCCCAGGAGGGUGAGAGCCCCGUGGGAUGCCGGCGGAAGCAGUGAGGCCCUUCUGACGAGUCGAGUUGUUUGGGAAUGCAGCUCCAAGCGGGUGGUAAAUUCCAUCUAAGGCUAAAUACUGGCGAGAGACCGAUAGCGAACAAGUACUGUGAAGGAAAGAUGAAAAGCACUUUGAAAAGAGAGUGAAACAGCACGUGAAAUUGUUGAAAGGGAAGGGUAUUGCGCCCGACAUGGGGAUUGCGCACCGCUGCCUCUCGUGGGCGGCGCUCUGGGCUUUCCCUGGGCCAGCAUCGGUUCUUGCUGCAGGAGAAGGGGUUCUGGAACGUGGCUCUUCGGAGUGUUAUAGCCAGGGCCAGAUGCUGCGUGCGGGGACCGAGGACUGCGGCCGUGUAGGUC
rnacentral:rRNA from 1 species